UUAAGUUCAGCGGGUAUCCCUACCUGAUCCGAGGUCAAGUUCAAGAAGAUUGGGCUUGAUGGAUGCCGAAUCCGCGCGGGCUCCAGGAAGCGCGAACAGUGCUGCGCGAUUAGGAGGCCCGGCAGGACCGUCGCCAAUGCCUUUGAGGCGAGUCCACGCGGUAGUCGCUAGAGGACAGACGCCCAACACCAAGCAGUGCU
rnacentral:misc_RNA from 1 species